AGCAGAACAGAAUGAGGAAAUAAACAGUUCAGAGUCCGUUUUACAGUCGACAGAGGAGGACAACAAGGAAAUGUGAGCUGGUAGUUUUGGAGGAAUCCUGCUGAAAAGAACAGCAGUGAUCUCACAGGCCUGCUGUGUGGAGAGGAGGAGCAACACUGAGCAGGAGAUCCAGUAACAUGAGAACAAGGAGGAAACAUUCCAGCUGUGGGGUAGUUCAGACUCAGCUGGAGGAAGAAACCUGAUUGUGGAGGCAGACUGACUGAAGUCCACAAGAUGAGUGAUUCUGAGGAGGAGGAGGAGUUUCCAUCCUCCAGCCGUCUGUCCAUGAAGAGUGACUGGUCCAAAGGAGAACCUCCAUGUUUCAGUGAAGAACCUGAACCCUCAGACACAAAAGUUCAGAAGCACAGACAGAGAUCAGAGUUUCCAUCCUCCAGCCGUCUGUCCAUGAAGAGUGACUGGUCCAACAUUCAUCCUCCAGACUUCAGUAAAGAACCUGAACCCUCAGACACAAACAGACAGAGAUCAGAGUUUCCAUCCUCCAGCCGUCUGUCCAUGAAGAGCGACUGGUCCAACAUUCAUCCUCCAGACUUCAGUAAAGAACCUGAACCCUCAGACACAAAAGUGAUGAAGAGGAGGGGAGUUUGUGUGGAGGAGCAGCCGUCCUGCUGUGCUCAGUGUCAGGACGUCCUGAAGGAUCCAGUCUCUAGCAGCUGUGGACACUGGUUCUGCAGACAGUGCAUCAGCUCAUACUGGGACCAGUCUGCUCCAUCAGGACACUCCUCCUGUCCCCAGUGUGGAGAAAGAUCCAGAAGCAGCAGCUGUGGACAAAGUGUUGGUCUGCAGGAGGUUCUGCAGGAACAUAAGAUGAGUCUGAGGAGGAGAUGUGAACAUGUGACUGAAGGAAGUGAUGAAGCAGGAGGUGGAACCCUCCUCAACAGGAUCUACACUGAGCUCUACAUCACAGAGGGACACAGUGGAGAGGCUGAUGUCCAACAUGAGGUGGAGCAGCUGGAGACAGCUUCCAAGAAGAGCCUCCAUGACACUCCCAUCAGGUGCCAGGACAUCUUUAAAGCCUUACCUGAGCAGCAGAGAGCCAUCAGAGUGGUCCUGACCAACGGCGUGGCCGGCGUGGGAAAAACCUUCUCAGUGCUGAAGUUCACUCUGGACUGGGCAGAGGGCGGAGAAAACCAAGACGUCAGUGUGGUGGUGGUGCUUCCGUUCAGGGAGCUGAACUUGAUCAGAGAUGAGCAGCACAGUCUUCUCACGCUGCUCCAUGUUUUCCAUCCAACAUUACAGAAGGUGACGGCAGAGCAGCUGGCUGUCUGUAAACUUUUGUUCAUCUUUGACGGUCUGGAUGAAAGCAGACUUUCACUGGAUUUCACCAACAAGAAGGUUGUGUCUGACGUCAGCCAGAAGUCAUCGCUGGACGUUCUGCUGGUCAACCUCAUGGAGGGGAAUCUGCUUCCCUCGGCUCUGGUCUGGAUCACUUCCCGCCCUGCGGCAGCCAAUCAGAUCCCUCCUAAAUAUGUGGACAGGUUAACAGAAGUACGAGGCUUCACCGACGUCCAGAAGGAGGAGUACUUCAGGAGGAGGAUCAGUGAUGAAGAGCGCUCCAGCACAAUCAUCUCCCACAUGAAGACAUCCAGGAACCUCCACAUCAUGUGUCGACUCCCAGUGUUCUGCUGGAUCACUGCUGCAGUUCUGGAGCACAUGCUGACCACAGAGCAGAGAGGACAGCUGCCCAAGACCAUGACUGACAUGUUCUCACACUUCCUGCUGGUUCAGACACAGAGGAAGAAGAACAAAUACCAUGAGGGACCUGAGACGAGUCCACAGGAGCUGACGGAGUCUGACAGGGAAGUUCUUCUGAAGCUGGGGAGGCUGGCCUUUGAACAUCUGGAGAAAGGAAACAUCAUGUUCUACCAAGAAGACCUGGAGCAGUGUGGUCUGGAUGUGACAGAGGCCUCGGUGUUGUCAGGAGUUUGUACCCAGAUCUUCAGGAGAGAGUGUGAGAUGUUCCAGAAACCAGUCUACUGCUUUGUUCAUCUGAGCAUUCAGGAGUUUCUGGCUGCAGUCUACAUGUUCCACUGUUACACCAACAAGAAGACUGAGGUUCUGGAGAAGUUCCUGGGAGAAGAACAGAAAGAUCUUUAUGUUGAUGAUGAUGAACUUUAUGGUGAUGAUGAGGAGGAGGAGGACGACGAUGAUGAUGAUAAUGUUGACACAGACAUCUCAUCCCUGGAUGUUUUCCUGGACAAAGUCAUGAAGAAAUCCCUCAGAAGUAGAAAUGGUCACCUGGACCUGUUUGUUCGCUUCCUUCAUGGCCUCUAUCUGGAGUCCAACCAGAGAGUCUUAGGAGGUCUGCUGGGUCAGACAGAGAACCGUCCAGAAAUGAUCCAGAGAGUCAUCAACAACCUUCCUGACACAACCAUUUAUGGAAUUUCUCCAGACAGAUGCAUCAACAUCUUCCACUGUCUGAUGGAGAUGAAGGAUCUCUCAGUACAUCAGGAGAUCCAAGAGUUCCUGCAGUCAGAGAACAGAUUAGAGAAGAAACUCUCUGAGAUCCAGUGCUCAGCUCUGGCCUACAUGCUGCAGCUGUCAGAGGAGGUUUUGGAGGAGUUGGACCUUGACAAGUACAACACAUCAGAUGAGGGAAAACGGAGACUGAUUCCAGCUGUGAGGAACUGCAGAAAGUUUCGACUUUCAGAAUGUGGACUCUCAGAGUUUCACUGUAAAGUCGUGGCCUCAGCUCUGAAGUCCAACCCCUCCCAUCUGAUAGAACUGGACCUGAGUAGAAACAUCCUGGAGGAUUCAUCUGUCAAGCAUCUUUGUGAUGGACUGCAGAGUCCAAACUGUAAACUGGAGACUCUCAGAUUGAGGAGCUGCAGUUUGUCAGAGAUCAGCUGUGAUUCUCUGGUCUCAGCUCUGAAGUCCAACCCCUCCCAUCUGGAACAUCUGGACCUGAGUGGAAACGACCUGAAGGAUUCAGGAGUGAAACAUCUGAGUGGUUUUGUGGAGAGUCCAGACUGCAUCCUGAAGACUCUGAGAUUGGAGGACUGCAGUUUGUCAGAGAUCAGCUGUGAUUCUCUGUUCUCAGCUCUGAAGUCCAACCCCUCCCAUCUGAAACAUCUGGACCUGAGUGGGAACAACCUGAAGGAUUCAGGAGUGAAACAUCUGAGUGGUUUUGUGGAGAGUCCAGACUGCAUCCUGAAGACUCUGAGAUUGGAAGGCUGCAGUUUGUCAGAGAUCAGCUGUGAUUCUCUGGUCUCAGCUCUGAAGUUCAACCCCUCCCAUCUGGAACAUCUGGAUCUGAGUGGAAACUACAACAUUCAGGAUUCAGGAGUGAAACAUCUGAGUGGUUUUGUGGAGAGUCCAGACUGCAUCCUGAAGACUCUGAGAUUGGAGAAAUGCAGUUUGUCAGAGAUCAGCUGUGAUUCUCUGGUCUCAGCUCUGAAGUCCAACCCCUCCCAUCUGGAACAUCUGGAUCUGAGCUGGAACGACCUGAAGGAUUCAGGAGUGAAACAUCUGAGUGGUUUUGUGGAGAGUCCAGACUGCAUCCUGCAGACUCUGAGAUUGGAGAACUGCAGUUUGUCAGAGAUCAGCUGUGAUUCUCUGGUCUCAGCUCUGAAGUCCAACCCCUCCCAUCUGGAACAUCUGGAUCUGAGCAAGAACAACCUGCAGGAAUCAUCAGUGAAACAUCUGUUGGAUCUUGUGGAGAGUCCAGACUGCAUCCUGAAGACUCUGAGGUGGAAGAAGCGCUGAUCAGGACGGUGUUUGUGGUGAGAGGAUGAAGUGUGUCCUGAUGAUCCAGAGGUUAAAGCAGCAGCUGGUGUGCAGAGACUCUGACUGGACCGUGUUACUGGGAGGUGGACUGGGAACCAGUGUAAAGUGUGUUGUUCUCACUGUAUAGUUUAGUGUUGCAGCUCCACACUGAAUGAUGGAGAAGUGCAGUUAAUGUUGACAUGAUCUGUUGGAGGUUGAUGUCAGGUUGCAGAGUGUGCAGGAAGUUUCAGGAUGUUUGUGUCGGUGCAGGAUUCUAUUUCAGUUGACUUUCUAUUUCCAGCUGCAGUCAAAGUUGUUGAUCUUCUCUACCUGCAGCACAUUGAGCUGAUGAGAACAAAGUGUCCUGGAAACAUGUCAGCUGAAGCCUUGGAGCCCAGAGAGAGUUUAAUGAAACACAUUUUACUGGGUUUUUAAAAAUAUGAAUAUUGAGCUGAGCUCCUGUAAAAUCUGGGCUCAAAGCUAACAUUAGUUUCUGAGUUCAAAGUCCUUAAAGAAGGUGGUCAUGAGGAUUUGAUGUGUGGUUUUCUUCAUACCAGUCUGUGGAUGGAUGUCUGAAAUAAUGACAAAUAAUGCAGUCCUGAAGUUUAACCUUCUCAUUGAUGUGAACAUCUGGUCUUCAAUGGUUCAACCUGCUGUGAUAGAAUAAUACAAAGCAGUUCUAUGAAGGUGGAAGUUUGGUCCAAACAUCUCAAUGUUUCUGUUCUGAUUCUCCACCAACCAUAAAACAUUUAUUUCCAUCCUGAGGGGCUGAAUUAUUUUCCUGUGAUUGACACCAAUAGAAGCUUUAAAAAUGUAGAGUUUGGUUCCAGUCAGAGCAACUUUGUGACAAAAUCUCGUAAAAUGAGGUUUUCUGCAUUUCUGGUCAGUAUCAGGAUGAUGACUGAGCAGGUUUGAUCAUGAAAGCAGUCCAAUAGUGUCCCAGCUGGAAGAGUUCCAUCAUAUUAUUGGUCAGAUUUCCUGUAAUUCAGCAGCAUGCAGCAAACAGAGGCUGCUUCAUGAACACACACUCUGACUGUGAGCUGAAAAUCCACAUUUGAUUCUCUUUGACUGAUAUCUGCCCACUUGGAGUCUCACUUCCAGGUUUUCAGCCUUCAUCUGUUUCUGGGAGUCUGACAUGAUGAUCUUUUAGUUUUGUGCUUCUGCUAGCAUCACCUCACUGCUGCUAAUAAUUCAGUCUGAGCUUUUAGAACAUCUGGAUGAAACAUAAUCCUGACUCAUCUUGUAGAGAACAAUCAGAGCCUUGAAGCCUUUAAAUAAAGUCUGUCUUCACUGCUGUCAGAGCUGAUCGUUUGUUAGAAUUGAAUUUGUAAAUACAUUUAUCAUAAUCAAGCCUUAGAGCAUUAACUGUGUGUGCAUAGUGUUUUACAUGACUAUUUUUAUAGAAUACCACUCACUCACUUCUAUCUGCACAUAUCUCUCUCUCUCUCUCCCUAGUCUCCACAUCCCAGUAUAUUUCCACUCUUUCAGCUUAGCACACCCCCUUGUGUAACUCGAGCUAUUUCUUAUCUUAUGCUAUGUUUUCAUCUCUGCUUGUGUAUAAAAUAAACUUCGUAUGGGAGCAGUCUUUGCAGCUCGCACUAAUGUGUCUUGUUACACUGUGCUGUGUUGCCCUUGCAAGUAAAAUUACAGUCUCCGUGUUUUUCUGGUUUGGUGAAUAUCUUCUUAUGUUAUGUGUCAGCUCUCAGCGGAGCUUCUCUCUGACAUCGUUGUCAGGACUUUAUUCCACCUUGUUUUCUUCCAGUCAAAUAUCUGAGGGAUGAACACCAACAACAGUCCAUAAACUGCUCUUUUACAGCUCAGUUCAUUCUUUUAGUGUUUUUCUUUAUUCACAUAUUUAUCAUGUGUCUUUUACUGUGGACUUAUUUGUUCAUCUCUGUCAUUCAUUCCAAGCAGUUUAUUUAGAGACGCUGAUGUUUUGUCAUGUGUGCAAAAUCUGAAAUGUAACAGCGCCCUCUGGUGGUCAUGUUUGUAACUUCAGAUUUCUCUUUCAUUUUUCAGUCUGUUGCAGUAAAAUGUCAUUUGUACCUGGAUGAGUUGUAUCUGUGUGGACAUGACUGUUUGUCUGGAUCAUAACAGGACAGACUGUGAGCAGCUUUCUCUGAUUUAGUCCUGAUAUGUGAUGAUGUUGUGAGCAGCAUCAAGCACCAAGGCCUCACACAGACUGAGAACUCCUCAGCUGAGGAGUCUGAGUUGUCUCCAUGAGAAAAGCAAAGCUGUACUGUGUGAAGGACGGAUACUCUGAUCAGUUUGUGUUGAAUGUUUUUCUGUGGAUCACAUCUCUGAACAUGAUCCUGGUGUUGGAGCUCUGCCCUUUCAGCUCAAAUAUUCACUCUGCAUUUCUCUUCUUUAUUAUAAAUCGUUACUCCUUUUAUUCUUUAAUAAAUUACAAAGACUAA